rnacentral:rRNA from 1 species
CCUACGGGAGGCAGCAGUGAGGAAUAUUGGUCAAUGGACGCAAGUCUGAACCAGCCAUGCCGCGUGCAGGAAGACGGCCCUAUGAGUUGUAAACUGCUUUUGUACGAGGGUAAACUCAGAUACGCGUAUCUUUCUGUAAGUAUCGUAUGAAUAAGGAUCGGCUAACUCCGUGCCAGCAGCCGCGGUAAUACGGAGGAUUCAAGCGUUAUCCGGAUUUAUUGGGUUUAAAGGGUGCGUAGGCGGUCUGAUAAGUUAGAGGUGAAAGCCCGAGGCUCAACCUCAGAAUUGCAAUUGAUACUGUUAGGCUUGAGUACAGUUGCGGUAGGCGGAAUGUAUGGUGUAGCGGUGAAAUGCUUAGAGAUCAUAAAGAACACCGAUUGCGAAGGCAGCUUACCAAGCUACCUCUGACGUUGAGGCACGAAAGCGUGGGGAGCAAACAGGAUUAGAUACCCUUGUAGUC